rnacentral:rRNA from 1 species
UUCCGGUUGAUCCUGCCGGACCCUACUGCUAUCGGGGGAGGACUAAAACAUGCAAGUCGUGCGCCUCCAAGCCAUGGUGGAGACGCGGCGUACAGCUCAGUAACACGUGGCUAACCCACCCUUGAGACGGAGAAAACCCCGGGAAACUGGGGUUAAUCCCUGAUAGGAGAAGACACCUGGAAUGGGUCUUUUCCCAAAAGGCGCUUAGACCAUGCUUCUAGACGCCGCUCAAGGACGGGGCCGCGGCCGAUCAGGUUGUUGGUGAGGCAAUGGCUUACCAAGCCUAUAACCGGUACGGGCCGUGAGAGCGGGAGCCCGGAGAUGGGCACUGAGACAAGGGCCCAGGCCCUACGGGGCGCAGCAGUUGCGAAAACUCGCCAAUGCACGAAAGUGUGAGCGGGCUACCCCGAGUGCCGUCCGCUGAGGGCGGCUUUUCCCUGAUGUAAGGAGCCGGGGGAAUAAGGAGAGGGCAAGUCUGGUGUCAGCCGCCGCGGUAAUACCAGCUCUCCGAGUGGUAGGGAUGAUUAUUGGGCUUAAAGCGUCCGUAGCCGGCCUGGCAAGUCUUCCGUUAAAUCCAACGAUUCAAUCGUUGGACUGCGGGAGAUACUGUUAGGCUAGGGGGCGGGAGAGGCCGACGGUAUUCUCGGGGUAGGGGUAAAAUCCUAUAAUCCCGAGAAGACAACCAGUGGCGAAGGCGGUCGGCUAGAACGCGCCCGACGGUGAGGAACGAAAGCUGGGGGAGCGAACCGGAUUAGAUACCCGGGUAGUCCCAGCUGUAAACGAUGCGGGCUAGGUGUUGGAGCGGCUACGGGCCGCUUCAGUGCCGCAGAGAAACCAUUAAGCCCGCCGCCUGGGGAGUACGGCCGCAAGGCUGAAACUUAAAGGAAUUGGCGGGGGAGCACCACCAGGGGUGAAGCUUGCGGUUUAAUUGGAUUCAACGCCGGGA